UACAGAUGAGGUAUUUCAAUUUGUAUUGUUUUGAAGAUGAGGUAGCUCAUAUAAUAGGGUUUCGUUGCAACAGUAAAAAGAAAAAAAUCAGAAAUAAUAUAGAGACAAUCACAUGUCUUGGGGAAGAAGGUCAAUGAGGAAAAUGGCAGAUCACAUGUGUUUCCCUUGUUUCAAUACACUUUUGUUUGUUCGAUCUCUCUUAUUACCUUCUUUUAUCAUUUCUCUCUCUCCCAUAGUCACGGGAAUUAUAUUUUUUCUGACAUUGUCCUGAACAACAGUUAACAAAAGAAUAGUAGUAAGAUUUUUACUAGCUAGUAUUUUAGCAUUUUUAUUUGACAUAUUGGUUAGUUCAUUUUGAUUGAUGGCCAUAUUGGUUAAUCACUCUUUUAUGAUAUGUGAUAACUAUAUAUUCUUCUAUUUUUUUUUUUUUUAAGUUGUAAGAGAACACACAUGAAGAUGUUGUCAAAAAAAGCAAACACAUCGACUGGAUUGGAAAAAAGGAUCUUAAUUAAGAAAAUACUUAAAUGCAGUUGGUUUUUUUUUCCUAACUUUAAAUGCAGUUGGUUGUAAUUAAAACGUUAUCAUUCUA
rnacentral:lncRNA from 1 species